GUAUCUGCUGAUUUCAGUCAGCCAUGUGCCCUUGGGGCAAAGAAGGCCAAUGGUAUCCUGGGGUGUAGUUGGAAGAGUGUUGCCAGCAGGUCAAGGGAGGUGAUCCUCCCCCUCUCCUCAGACCUGAUGAGGCCACACCUGGAGUAUUGUGUCCAGUUCUGGGCUCCCCAGUACAAGAGGGAUGUGGAACUACUGGUAUGAGUCCAGAAGAGGGCUUUGAAGA